GAGCUCCUGUCCUUUUAUCUAAUAUGUAUGCAGAUGAGAACCAAUGGAGUAAAGUCAUACACUUAAGGAAAGAAAUGCGAGUACUAGUGCAGGGGAAACCCCCUGGUAGAAGCUGGAUUUAGGUCAAGUAUGCAGUCAAUGACUUGCAGCUAGGAAUGAAAAUGAUUGACAAACUAUGGAGCUGGAUAUGGUUCUUGAAGGAUUUGGAGAACUUUUUAGACCAUAGUGAAGUAGCCAUCUAUAUUUUUUGCACCCCCAAUAUUGGUGUUGGCAAUUUUUCAUCUAUAAAUAGGUAUGUGGAGAAGAGAAGAUGUACUUAACACGAUUUCAUCGUGUUAAAUAGAUUAAUCAAACCCACUAUAAUUCUCUCGUUCCUUGUUCUCUCCAAAAAUGUGGCUAGAUAGCUACUACUACCAAACGUCAGAUGUUCCACAACUCCAAGUGGACUAAGGAGGAUAGAUAGGAAGGAAUAUAAUGCAACUCUAGUAUAUAAUGUAAUGAGAGGGCAUCGGAAUUUGGCAUACCUUGACAUAGUUGUUUCUCACGUCUUUUUCAUUCUCCUCGAUCAUAACCAUAUACUUACUCUCAUCCCAUCCAAAUCCAUUCUUUGACAUCAUACCAACAAUAGAAGAAUAUUGUCUCUUGAAUUUUAGAUGUAAUAAUAGAUGAAGCUAAUUUGUCUCUCCAUUGGGACCAUGAGUUGCUAGUAUCAAUACUAGUACUAUAUUCAAUACUUGAGUCCAUUGCAUAAUCAAGUUGUUCCAGAAUCUCUAGUUCUAAAGGAUCAUUUGGCAUCUCCGAUCGAAUAAAAUUGUGGAGAGUGAAACAAGCCAAAAUAGUCCUAUUUUAGAUCUUGAUAGGAUAAAAAGACAGACUUCGUAACACAGCCCAUCGAAUUUUCAACAACCCAAAUGCCCUCUCAAUAAUAUUCCUUGCAUAAGAGUGUUUGAGGUUAUAAUAUUCCUCACAGUUCUGUUGUUCUCCCGCUCCACAGUCCCACUCACAUAAGUGAUAACAAACACCUCUGACCUCUGUAUGGGGCGAGGAAGCCUACAAUCAUUCGAAUAACCACUGUCAUAUAAGUAAUAAUGCCUAAAAUUUAAACCAAAUUUGUUACACAUAGUAUCUAAUAAUGGAACAUAAUCAAUAUGGUGAAAGUUGACGUACUAAGAAAAAGAAAAAUCAAUACAGACUAAACAA